AGGACGAACGCUGGCGGCGUGCUUAACACAUGCAAGUCGAACGGUAAGCACUCCUCUUUUGAGGAGUGGUACGAGUGGCGAACGGGUGAGUAACACGUGGGCGAUCUGCCCUGCACUUCGGGAUAAGCUCGGGAAACUGGGUCUAAUACCGGAUAGGACCACAGGAUGCAUGUCUUGUGGUGGAAAGCGUUUAGCGGUGUGGGAUGGGCCCGCGGCCUAUCAGCUUGUUGGUGGGUGAUGGCCUACCAAGGCGACGACGGGUA
rnacentral:rRNA from 1 species